rnacentral:rRNA from 1 species
AUCAACUUUCGAUUGGUAGGAUAGAGCCUACCAUGGUGGUAACGGGUAACGGGGUGUUAGGGCACGACACCGGAGAGGGAGCCUGAGAAACGGCUACCACAUCCAAGGAUGGCAGCAGGCGCGCAAAUUACCCAAUCCCGACACGGGGAGGUAGUGACAAUAAAUAACAAUACGGGGUUCUUUCGGAUUUCGUAAUUGGAAUGAGUACAAUUUAAAUCUCUUAACGAGGAACAAUUGGAGGGCAAGUCUGGUGCCAGCAGCCGCGGUAAUUCCAGCUCCAAUAGCGUAUAUUAAAGUUGCUGCAGUUAAAAAGCUCGUAGUUGAAUUUCGGGACCAUCAUGUCGGUCGUGCCUCGGUACGUACUGGCAUUGUUGGUUUCUCCCUUCUGACGAACCAUGAUGUCAUUUAUUUGGUGUUGUGGGGAAUCAGGACUGUUACUUUGAAAAAAUUAGAGUGUUUAAAGCAGGCUCACGCUUGAAUACAUUAGCAUGGAAUAAUGAAAUAGGACGUUUGAUUCUAUUUUGUUGGUUUCUAGGAUCGACGUAAUGAUUAAUAGGGAUAGUUGGGGGCAUUAGUAUUCAAUUGUCAGAGGUGAAAUUCUUGGAUUUAUUGAAGACUAACUACUGCGAAAGCAUUUGCCAAGGAUGUUUUCAUUAAUCAAGAACGAAAGUUAGGGGAUCGAAGACGAUCAGAUACCGUCGUAGUCUUAACCAUAAACUAUGCCGACUAGGGAUCGGAUGAUGUUAAUUUUUUAAUGACUCAUUCGGCGCCUUACGGGAAACCAAAGUGUUUGGGUUC